AUCCUCCUUGUGAUUCAUAAAUGUGGUGAUUGAGUUUUCAGGUCACUGUGAGGAUAGGCUUCUCUCAAACUGUGUUACAACAGCAGGGCAUUACUUGUCUGACA